rnacentral:tRNA from 1 species
GUAGAGAUGGCUCAGUGGUUUAGAGCAUUGGAUGCCCUUCCAGAGGACCUGGGUUCAAUUCCCAGCACCCACA